GGUGUGGGGGCAGAGCUGCUGUCACAUCCGCUUGUCCCUGCAGCUUCUCUGUUACCCCAGUGAUUUCCUGCCAGGGGGGCGGGGGCUGCUGCUGCCUCCUGCCCCCCUCCCCCAGCCAGGGCCACAGUGCACUGCAGCCCCACCCCACCAUUGCAGUGUACUGUGCCCUCCCUGGGAGGGUCCCUCCAGGAGCUCCCACCUAGGGGGCACCCCGCCCCAGCUUGGCAUGCAACACGCCUUCCCCCCAUGGCUCUCACGCAAGGGUUGGGCUGGAGCUGUGUUGGGUUUUUUCCCAUCUGAGCUGCAGGCCUGUCCCUACAGGCCCCUGGGGCCCUGGCAAAGUCAGGUGAAACUCAGGGGUACCAGGCGGCUGACGUCUCAUUCUAGGGACCGCUGUGACAACGGGUGCUCGCGGCGUUUCCAACCGUGAAGCACCCCGAUACGACCAAAUGGGGCAUCGUUUUGACCGGUGAAUGAGCGCGGGAAAAUGAGAAGUCUGAGGAAGGAUGCAAAUAUUUGAGGCUACGCUCUGUUCUUUGGCUGUAUUGCACUACGGAGCUAACAGCAAUAGGGAAGAGAAACUGGGAGGAAACAGACAGGCUGUUUGCAAAGGUUUCUCAAAAGCGGUAGGAGGCUGCUUCAGAUGGCGGGUGCUGCAAAGAACCAGACUUUUCAUCUUCCCAUAGCAAUAUGAGAAGUCGUGCUAAGGCUGGGCUAUACAGCGCCGAGUUUGUCAGUCUUGUUUAAUGUACACUAUUAAGAACUUCCUGUUGGAACCCUGGGCAGUGACCUCGGCUGAAAGUGCUGUAUCUGUUUUUGUCAAUGAGAACCAAUUCUAUUCUCGGGUCUGUUGCUACAGCUCCUUCAAAUCGGAGAGUGGCGACUGUGUUUCCAAGGGCAAAAUUAUGUCCUAUGUUACCUGGAGCUGCUACUCUUUGGUAAAAGAAAGAGAAAUGAUUGUGUAGAAACUGCUGAACACUUAAGUCUGUUCUGCGUAUUUGCAAAUUGUUUGCAUAGAACCAUAACCUUCUAUUUUAAAAUAAUUGUGGGAUUGAAUUCUAAUAAAAAGUUGGAUGUAGCCGGCCCCAGUGAAUUAUAUCUUUCGCUGCAGGCCGGCAGCAGGUUGAACUACCCACGCUGCCCUGGCAACACCUGUGAUCUGGGGGCGACUUCCUAGGGUUAAAACAACAGCAGGUCAGUCUCCAUGGAUGGUGUAAUUCCUUGUUUCUCUGCUGAUAUGCCUUAUUCUAAACAGUGUUUAAGGACAAUGGUUUCUCGAGCCAAACAGAGGUUGCUUAUGCACAAGUAUCUUCUGAGAAGAGUAUCCAGGAGACUAGAGGUUUGCAAGGCUCUAGGCCAGCACCGUGGGAAUGCAAGCUUCGUGCUUCUGUUUAAAGAGGCUGUUCCUCAUGCCUGGGAAGAGCUCCCGGUAAACACCUGCAAAGCUUCCACAUUGUCCUCCUUCAAACCCAGCACUGCCAUGUCACC